UUUGCAGAUGUUCUGUUCUGCCGUACAUGCAGAUGAAUGUCUCCAGUACCUGGAGGUCUGUGUUUAUCUGCCGGUUAAACUCCCGUUGGAUGACUUGCUUCAGAAGGGUUGAAAAUCGGCAACUUUCCCUCUUUAGCGUUUAGCUUAGCGCGGUGCCAUAGCAA